GCCAUAGAUUAGCUCAGUUGGUAGAGCACAAGACUCUUAAUCUCAGGGUUGUGGGUUGGAGCCCCUCACUGGGCA